rnacentral:lncRNA from 1 species
GGAAAAGGCCAGCUACUCUUUUUUUCCAUAGGCAGAGCAAAUUUUCCCUUUGUGGGUGCUGAAGAUGUCUGGGUACUUGCUGCAAUGAGAGAGGCAGUAGAAUUCAUUGCAUGUCCCUGCUUUGUGAACACUCAAGAUUGCUGCUCUGUUUCAUUACUCAUACACUGCAUCUACGGGGAGCUCUGUGUCAUCAUUACAACCUUUGAGAAUUCACUGCUGGUCAGUCCAGUGUCAAGAAUGAACGGCGAGAGGACAAGUGAGAAUCUAAGUACUCAGUGAGACCGAGCAUUGAAGGCUGAGAAGUAAGGGGCUGGCAGUUGAUAACAAGCUGAUUUCUGAAAGCUCAACCUGGGGUGUGGAAGAGGAGCUAAAAACGAACCAGUUGUGAAGCCUCAGAUCCCUUCUGCAUCACCUCUUUAGGACUCAACUGCCCUCUUUGCAAAAGUUGGGAAUUCACAAGCAUCACAACAGACCUUUGAAGAUAGAGUGGGCAAGAGCCAGUCCCCUGAGAUUCAGCAUUUGUUCAUUUAACAAAUAUUUUCCAUCUCAUAUAUGCCACUUUAUUAACCUUGUGGAAUGGAAAGAAAACACAACCCCCAGCCCUUACUUUUGAACUUACUUUAAAAGCCUUAUGAAUUAGGGAGAAUGUUGUGAGCAUUUAAACAACUAAGGUAAAUGGUAAUGAAAAUGAUAAUACAAAAAUUGUCAUGGCUGGCAAUGGAGGUUCAAGCCUAUACUUACACAAGUGAGAGAGUCAAGAAGAUCACAACCCCAAGACCACUCUAGUCUACAUAGUAUGUUUGAGACCAGUUAGGGGUAUGCAAUGAGACCCUGUGUCAACAAAGCAAAACAAAACAAAACAAAACAAAACAAAACAAAACAAUGGAAUGAGCAGAGACAAUAUGAGAUCAAGCUCUUGAAGAAUGGGGUUUAUGAAGCCCCUUGCUGUUUAAAACCAUCACAUUCCUCAUCCCAAGGAUUAUAGAGGUGAUAAUCCUUUAACACAAGCCUGCUUAACUUGCCAAAUGGACAGCUUCACCAAAAUGGUCAAUCAGGCUCUUUCCUGGAAACUUAAAA